rnacentral:rRNA from 1 species
UAGGUGGCGAGCGUUAUCCGGCUUUACUGGGCGUAAAGGGAGCGUAGGCGGAUGAUUAAGUGGGAUGUGAAAUACCCGUGCUCAACUUGGGUGCUGCAUUCCAAACUGGUUAUCUAGAGUGCAGGAGAGGAGAGUGGAAUUCCUAGUGUAGCGGUGAAAUGCGUAGAGAUUAGGAAGAACACCAGUGGCGAAGGCGACUCUCUGGACUGUAACUGACGCUGAGGCUCGAAAGCGUGGGGAGCAAA